AUUGAACGCUGGCGGCAUGCCUUACACAUGCAAGUCGAACGGCAGCACGGGAGCAAUCCUGGUGGCGAGUGGCGAACGGGUGAGUAAUAUAUCGGAACGUGCCCAGUCGUGGGGGAUAACGUAGCGAAAGCUACACUAAUACCGCAUACGAUCCAUGGAUGAAAGCGGGGGAUCGCAAGACCUCGCGCGAUUGGAGCGGCCGAUAUCAGAUUAGGAGUUGGUGGGGUAAAAGCCCACCAAGCCGACGAUCUGUAGCUGGUCUGAGAGGACGACCAGCCACACUGGAACUGAGACACGGUCCAGACUCCUACGGGAGGCAGCAGUGGGGAAUUUUGGACAAUGGGCGAAAGCCUGAUCCAGCAAUGCCGCGUGCAGGAUGAA
rnacentral:rRNA from 1 species